rnacentral:tRNA from 1 species
GAUAGAAUGGCCGAAGAUUAAGGUGUAAGAUUGUAAAUCUUGUUAUGGGUUGUUAAACCUUUUUAUCA